ACCCACUGCUGUCAAUCUAUCUACCGCUGUCAAUCUAUCUAUCACUGCUAAUCUAUCACUGCUAAUCUAUUGCUGCUAAUCUAUCACUGCUAAUCUAUUGCUGCCAAUCUAUCUACUGCUGUCAAUCUAUCUACCGCUGCCAAUCUAUCUACUGCUGCCAAUCUAUCUAUCACUGUCAAUCUAUCUAUUACUGCUAAUCUAUCACUGCUAAUCUAUUGCUGCUAAUCUAUCACUGUCAAUCUAUCUACCACUGCCAAUCUAUCUACUGCUGCCAAUCUAUCUAUUGCUGCCAAUCUAUAUAGAGUAAAUCAUAAUCCCAUUUGAUCCCAUUUUGUAAAAUAAAAUCAAAUGAAAUCAGAAUCACUAAUUUAUUAGUAAAAUAUGAUCUGAGACUAGAUUUAUAAUAUAAACAGUGUAAAGUGACUAAUUUACUAAAUACUAUAUAGAAUCAGAACUAAGAUAUCUAAUAAUAAGACUGAG
rnacentral:sRNA from 2 species